rnacentral:rRNA from 1 species
GUGGGGAAUAUUGGGCAAUGGGGGAAACCCUGACCCAGCAACGCCGCGUGAAGGAAGAAGGCUUUCGGGUUGUAAACUUCUUUUAUGAGGGACGAAGAAGUGACGGUACCUCAUGAAUAAGCCACGGCUAACUACGUGCCAGCAGCCGCGGUAAUACGUAGGUGGCAAGCGUUGUCCGGAUUUACUGGGUGUAAAGGGCGCGUAGGCGGGAUAGCAAGUCAGGUGUGAAAUCCGGGGGCUUAACCCUCGAACUGCACUUGAAACUGUUAUUCUUGAGUGAUGGAGAGGCAAGCGGAAUUCCUAGUGUAGCGGUGAAAUGCGUAGAUAUUGGGAGGAACACCAGUGGCGAAGGCGCCUUUCUGGACUGUGUCUGACGCUGAGAUGCGAAAGCCAGGGUAGCGAACGGGAUUAGAAACCCGUGUAGUCC